rnacentral:rRNA from 1 species
UACGGGGGGGGCAAGCGUUGUUCGGAAUUACUGGGCGUAAAGGGCUCGUAGGUGGCCAACUAAGUCGGACGUGAAAUCCCUCAGCUUAACUGGGGAACUGCGUCCGAUACUGGAUGGCUUGAGUUCGGGAGAGGGAUGCGGAAUUCCAGGUGUAGCGGUGAAAUGCGUAGAUAUCUGGAGGAACACCGGUGGCGAAGGCGGCAUCCUGGACCGAUACUGACGCUGAGGAGCGAAAGCCAGGGGGAGCAAACGGG